ACAACAUGCUUAAUAGGAAGUCUCCAUAUUGUACUGGUAUCAAAUCUGGGCAAAUUAAUGUAUAAAAACAAAUGCCGGGAAAACGUUGCCAUUUGGCGACAACCUGUCACAGAAUCUGGACCUGGUUUGACGUUCUUCACGUGUGUGGGAACGCGCUGCGAAAAGUCAAACCACGAACGGAGAGGCACCUCCCGCGCCGAAUCCCCCGCGGAAGGCCGCGCAGCCGGAAGCUCAACGCCGGCCCCGCCCACCUCUGUGUCGUGGGCGGGGCGUUUCCGGCCGCUGACGCGUGCGCGCGCCGACGUCCCAGCAGACCCCACUCUGCGCAGAACGGCGCGGCCGGGCGCCAGGCUUCGCGGCGUCAGCCGCACUGGUUCCUCAGCACCUUAGGGCUGGGGCUGCCGAGCCCGCCCCAAAAGGUCGUUUCCCCUGCGGUUUCCAACAUGGCAAGCAGGUUUUAUAAACAUGGAUAAGAAGUCCACACACACAAGUUCUGGAGAUGCCAGGACUGGCAGAAAAAGAGGUAAACACAAACAGAAGAAAAAAGGAAAGCAAAACCCCAAACACCACCAAUCCCGACAUAGAUCAUCAGCAUCUCAUUCUUCAGAUGACCGUGUGUUUCCUUUUUCUCUAUCAUCUUCAGGAAGCCAGACGGAUUCAAGUCUCGAAGGUGCUACCAAGGGAAAAAUUAAGAGAAAGAGAAGGGAGAAGAGGAGUAGGUGGAGGAAAGAAAGAAAGGUAUCUUCUGAGAUGUCCAUCAUUCUGUCUGGUCCUCAGUCACUGAUCCACACCAUUUGCCACUGAGAUGUCCUUAUUCCUGUCUGCCUAGUCCUUUCAGAACAAAAGAAGAAAUAUCAAGAAAAAAAGAGAAGGAGAAAAGGAGGAAACAACCACAUGCCAUCACCUUUCCAAGAGGGGCUGAAACCAGGUUGAACUUUUUGAUUUCCAAAACUCAGCCUUUCGGUGUAAGGUGGCCAAAUGAGGAUGCCAAGCCCCAGCACCAUGAAACCUACAGAAACAUCAAAGAGCUCGGAGAAUGGGAUGUCUUUCCACCAUGUUUGGACUCCUGGAACCAAUCUUCACAUCCUCUGCACCCACACAAUAAAGAGUUGGGAAAUCACAUUUUGCUUAUGAAGGUCCACAUCCAACACUUGAGAGCCUGAAGCACAAGUCAUUUGUGGCAAUUUUAGGAUGUUUAUCCUGUACUCACAUAUUUGGUAGGGAGGGUGGAGACUGAGUCUGCCCUCUUGAGUAUUAUGCCUAAUAAUUGCAUCUAAAAGACCUAUACCAACGUCCUGCAUAAAGCAGAAGACUUAGAGAUGGCAUGAAAAGAUCCAAGAUGGGAUCCAAAUGCACCCAUCCAUCAGGCACAUUUGUGAAGUACCUACUCUGCACCCAGAAGGCGGAGACCCAGAGAUGAAAGACCUGGUCCAACACUUAAGGAUUUCACAAACUACAGGAGGCAGUGGACUGGCAGGAAGAGGGAAGGAGUAAACUGAAAACCACAUGCAUUUCCAGCACCGUGUGGAGACGCUAACCUCACUCCGCUCUGUCCCGUGUUCUGGAGCCUGGACAUUUCAUGAGAGCCUAGCAGAAGCCCACAGCCCCAAGUAGGGGCCAGAAGUAGUUCUAAAACUGUUAGCCUCAGGACAUGGCUACACGGAGAGGAAUGGCUUGUUCCUGGAGUGGAAUUCUCCCCGCACCAAAUUCCAGCUGGGAGGAGAGAUUGGGCUGGAGAACUUCCAAGUUAGACUGCAGGGCUUUGGGAAUGUCGCAUUUGCUCCAGCAAAGGAAUCGUAACUGGAAUGAAAUACAAUCAAAUUUGCUAGAAAACACUCCACCCUCUGUUAGCUUGUGAAUGCCUUUCUCUGUAACACAGAAACUCUCGGACAUUUUUAGAAACUUUAAAAAAUCAUUUUGCUAUUUUUGCCUUUAUGAUAAAAUCAUGAUUGCUAGUCAAGUGUUUUUAUUUUUAUAUUAGCAUCUUACUAAAUAUAAUGAUGCUAAUUUAAUACACUAUGUAAUAAUACUCAUAAAGAAACAUGUCAAUUUCCAUAUUUAACAGACAAUGCAAAAUGUUAAACUGAUUUAAAAUAACUGUCUAAAAAUGAUUUGUCGAUGAAUAAAUUUUCAAAUAACAUACUUUGUUUUGCUGGGGAGCCACAUGAAUGUAAAGACAGACUGAAAUUCCACUGUGUUGAAAAAUGGCAUCAAAAAUAGACAUAAACUUUUUUCAUUACCUAAUGUUAGAAUUCUUGAGAGUUCCCUUGAGUUAUUUUGAUAAAU